GCACCCGCGGUAAUUCCAGCACCAAUAGCGUAUAUUAAUGCUGCUGCUGUUAAAAAGCUCGUAGUUGGAUCAAGAGUUCGACAGUGCAAGGUGGCCUCGCUUGUUCAGUUGGCUCCGGUCAUCUGUGCGGCGGCGGAUCAACCCCUUGCGCCAAACUGUCGUCUCUAACAGACCGAAGCGGUUCCCUGUGAGUAGGCCACUUAAUUGGGGCUGAAAGCGUUUACGCAUCAACCACAUGCAUACGGGACGUCGGUCAAAGUUACUGUGAACAAACCAGCGUGUCCAAAACAGGCUUUGCCUGAAUGUUCGAGCAUGGAAUAACAAGGGAUCGAUUCUCUCGGUUCUUUUUGUUGGUUUUUAACCCGAGAAGGAGUAAUUCAGGCCAAGGUGUCUGGGCUGGGUUCCCCUCACCUUCGGGUGAGGCCCCAGUUAGGCCUUGUCCUUACGGGAUAAAUAGGGACUGACGGGGUCGUACGUACUUCCACGUCAGAGGUGAAAUUCUUAGAUCGUGGGAAGACGAACUUCUGCGAAAGCAUUCGACAAGAAUGUCUUCAUUAAUCAAGAACGAGAGUGUGGGGAUCGAAGAUGAUCAGAUACCGUCGUAGUCCACUACUGUAAACAAUGCCGUCUCAGGAUUGAGAAGUGAACCUAAUGACUUUCACAGCACUAACCCCUGAAACGAGAAAUCAAAGAUUAUGGGUUCAGGGGGGAGUACAUUCGCAAGGCUGAAACUUAAAGGAAUUGACGGAAUGACACCACAAGGCGUGGAGUAUGCGGCUUAAUUUGACUCAACACGGGGAAUUUUACUAGGUCAGGACAAUGUAAGGAUUGACAGAUUGAGAGCUCUUUCUCGAUCCAUUGUGUGGUGGUGCAUGGCCGCUCCUGGUUGGUGGAGUGAUUUGUCUGGUUGAUUCCGUUAACGAACGAGAUCUCGACCCUUAAAUAGGUGCCCGUGUCGAUUGUAGUCUUGCCUCUGCCUGCUUGCAGGAUCUGAGCAGGACGAGACUGCGGGAAUACUUCUUAAGGGGACUGUGUGCGUCUCUAGCACGCGGAAGAGCGAGCCAAUAGCAGGUCUGUGAUGCUCCUAAAUGUCCUAGGCUGCACGCGCACUACACUGAUGCAAUAAACGAGUCUGAGUGCCUUCUGGCACCCUGCCUGGAAGCGGGUGGGAAAUCUUUUGAACUUGCAUCGUGAUGAG
rnacentral:rRNA from 1 species